UUUGAGCGGUUACAGAGAGAGAAAGAGAUAAAGAGAGAGAGGAACAUGCGCUCGCUACACGUCUCCUGCUGUGACAGAGUAUAAUUAAAUUGUGGAGAACGACACCGAUAUUGCUACCUAAACUAGAAAGAGGAAAGGGUUUGUGGUCAGCAUUUAAAAAAGAGGAAAACUUUUCCAGUUUCAUGAGGACUCUUCUCGUUGGGUUGCGUUCUUGAAGACGUUUGCGUGUGUUACUGAACUGGACGACUUUGCUCUUGUCUUUGGAGUUGAUUUGUGGAUUCGAUGCAUUGGGAUGAGAUGGCUGGAGAGAUCCAUGCAAGGAGACUUCACAGAUCUGGGAUCAGGAGAGCAUCUUCCACCGUUCAAACGGUCAUGCUUCAUCGGUUGUCCAACAGACAGUCAACAGUCAAAAGGUUUUUGAAGAACACACUCCAGGUACAAUGGACUUCAAUGGGGUCCAACGGGUCGAGAUGUGAGUUUCAGUGCAGCUUCAAAGUCUCGACACGAUCCGGCCGAGGAAUAAGAGUCCGAUCUAACCAAACCAGCGGACAUUUAUAACAAAAUAUACAUUUAUAUACUUUUAACCACUAAUGCUGGUCUUGCGACACACAUUACGUAAUCAGGUUGACUUUUCGGCUCAUAAUGAGGACGUUUUGAUUAUAUUAUGUUGCUUGUUUGUUUUUAGACACUUAUUUUAAGCUAAAUAAAAAAAUCUUCAAUCAGUGAUCUCGGGUUGAUUGGGACACUCUCCCCCAGUCAUCUCAGUGGGAAAAAGUGUCCAAGUCAACCUGAACGCACAUGGGUGUCUAAAUG